rfam:Mesocricetus auratus contig170853, whole genome shotgun sequence.
GAGGCCAAACCGGAUCUGUACGACUGCUAUUCUAUUGCCAGCACACAGGGUAGACAAAGAAAAAAAAAAAAAAAAAGCCUCUGCCUCUGUAAAACUCUAGCAUGAACACGAAUUCUCGCUUGGGCCACGCAAAGGAGGCUCGCACUCGCGAGGGGGAGGGGCGGCCGGGGCGUGACAA